UUGCCCUAACACAAUGAAAGCCCUUCCUCUCGAUCAUCCUUAUGGCUCCUUGGCCAUGCCAGUGAGAAUUAGGGGGAAAUCUAACAAUAA
rnacentral:sRNA from 14 species